CCCUUCAAGAGCUAAGCCAGAUGAGUGCCGGAGAUAAGCGCCGGGUGGGAUAA
rnacentral:sRNA from 1 species